UACGUAGGGUGCAAGCGUUUAUCCGGAAUUAUUGGGCGUAAAGAGCUCGUAGGCGGUUUGUCGCGUCUGCCGUGAAAGUCCGGGGCCUCAACUCCCGGGAUCUGCGGUGGGUACGGGCAGACUAGAGUGAUGUAGGGGAGACGUGGAAUUCCUGGUGUAGCGGUGAAAAUGCGCAGAUAUCAGGAGGAACACCGAUGGCGAAGGCAGGUCUCUGGGCAUUAACUGACGCUGAGGAGCGAAAGCUGGGGAGCAACAGG
rnacentral:rRNA from 1 species